GAUAUUCUGCAUGCAUGCCUGAGUCCAGGGCACUACAUGAUGGCACCAGGUAGAAGCUGAGGGGCUGCUUGGGUUUCAAGCUGACACAUCUCCUGUCAAAGCUACUUCAUACCCCGGCAGAGAGAAGUUCCUCUCAACUCUUAGCAGUGAUCAUUGCAAUUAUUACAUGUACCACUGAGAGAAGCCUAGAACACAGAGGUGAGGCCGAAACACACUGCUGCAUCUCACAGACCAAGAGGUACUACAUUAGACAGGUUAAAGGAGUUUGUAGGUUCCUAGGUUUGCCUAGUUAAAAGAAGCCCUCCAGAGAAAGUCAGGCUCAACUUAUCUGAAAUCUCUGAAAGCCAGACAUAAUGACUGUUGUGACAGUUUUCAGUAACAAGGAGUGAAGUUUCCUGUCAAAAGAAGUGCUUUCACCAUUUUCGUCAUAUGUAAAACAAGAUGCUUCUACAGGUACAUUCAUAGAGCUUCUUUGAGAUCCUGAAAAUCUAUCAAGGA